AGUAUCCAGGGGCGGGAAUCGAACCCACACCCUUCUGCUUACCGGGCAGGUGCCUUGUCCACUUUAAAUAUAAGUUAUGAAC